CCUGACAGCUCAGACGGUAAGGCAUCUGCCUGCAGUGCAGGAGACCUGGGUUCGAUCCUUGGGUCAGGA
rnacentral:tRNA from 1 species